AGGAGGCGUGCUGGGUCAGUCGCAAGCCCCGCUUGGCGCUUCUCUUCCCGCAGAUAGCGGUGCGGGCCUAGUUUUGUGAGGCUGCCCCCAGUGUUGCUGUGUACUUUUGGAAACUCCUGGACAGGCUAGAACAGCACUAUUUCUUUUGAAAUAUUCAGGAAACUUUUUCUCAUAAUUGUGGAGAAGAGAGGGGAACUACAGGAAAAAAACCCAAACCAAACAACAAAAAAGUCAACACUGAAGAUGAGUGUAAGCCUAUUUUUUCCCCCACCAAGAUCAUGUCUGACUUUGCUCAUAUGUCUAUCACAUCAAGUUUUCAGCUGCAUGUGUAAUAGUCUCCUAGGUAAUAGGAUACCUUACCCAUUCUCAUUGCUCUUUUGCAAACUUUUUUGGUCAAUUUCUUUUGCUGUAUUGCAUUACUUGUCUGUAUUUGUAUCUUCUUGAAGAUGGCACACUAAAUGAUGUCACUUAUCAGGCUGUGAUAAAGUUGCCUAGAACUGUCUGUGUUGAGAACUGACAAAAUCGCUGAAAAUGGAAUUCAGAGCCUGGGACUUAUUUAUAAACAUUCUAAUAGAGCCCAAGUUCAGCCAUGAGGGGUUGGCUGAAAGGACACCUGCACAAACUGAUGUAGCACUGCACAGAGAUGAUCUUGAGCAGACCCUUCAAGUGCAGCAUUAUCCAUGCUAGGUACCCUCCUUCUCAGAAGGGAUAUUUAACUCAAGUGGAUUUUCUACCCAACUAUCCAAAACAAUUUUUUUUUUCAUCUCUUAGACUGAAGUUUGUCCAUUAACUCGUCAGGCUUUGUCCUGGUAAUGACAGGCCUUAGGGUUCCUCUGACCAUCUGCCACUGAGAGAAAAAUGCCCUCAGAAAAGAGAAGAGCAUUGUUCACACCUCAUGCCAGGCUCUCAAACAGGUUUCCUCCCUGCAAUCUCAAUCCUAGUGUAUUCAAAGCAGAGGGACCUCUCUGUCCCCAUAGUUGCGUUCCUCCUUGGAGGUGUUUAAAGAUCUCAUUCUAGGUCUUUAAACAAUCCCAGUCCCUGAUAUAUGAUUUUCCUGGGUGACACACAAUAAAGUCCUCAGUCAUUCUGUUAAGUCUACUGACUGCAAGUGUUCAGGUGGCAUUAUCUUGAGAAGGAAAUGGAGGGGAAUCAAAUCCAGGAUGCAAGAAGUUUAGCACAUGCAUGUUUGUACUGUGUGACCAGGACAACUUAACACCAGUGUUCUGCAAAAUUCACAGGGGAAAACACAAACAAACAAAUUUUUAGUGUCAAAGCUUUUGAAGUAGAAAUAAAGUCUGAUUAUCCACAAACUCAAAACUGGUAACAAAGAAAAUAAUUACUAGGAAAUACUAAACAUAUGAAAUAAAAUUCCAGACUUUCAGCAGCUAGACACAGAAGUGGGAUGGGUGCAAUGCUUUGAAAAUAACUGCCUCAAGAGAUAUAUAUUGCACUAAAUUUAAAUUUAAUGUUCAGAUGCAAGUGUGAUUAGUGACAAAUUUACAAGUGUGGUCAAAGGCCACAUUUCAAAGGGCACUAUUUUCUAGGAAACUUACUUAAAAAAAAAAAAAAAGGCAGUUUAUGUAUUUAUGUUGUAUCCCACAUAGGACAGUGAUGAUUUCAUGACUUGCACAUGCAAAGCACACUUAGCGUUUCUAAGAAAAAAGGUGGCCAAGAAGUGUGGAUUGCCGAGAACGAACAAAUCUCUUCUGUAAUUUGACAUUAGUUAACUAUGUAUUGUUCUGGCUGUUUAGUCCCUGUGAGCUUUUCUGGAUUGCAACAGGAUCCCACAGCUGCAGCAACAGCACGCUAUCACCCACUUCAUCUGCUAAGACAAGCACUGGCUUAACAGUUUUUACUCUGCUCCUGUGUUCUACCAGCGGGGGAGGGCAGGUGUAGGAACACACCCUUGUACAGGACACAAGGACUAUGUGCUUGGUUACAUAAAUGGCACUGGAACACCCGUGUUAUUCCAAGAUAAACACCAUGAAAUCAAAGCAGUUAAUCUACAUCACAACCCUUCAUUUAUUGUGCUCCAUUCAAUGCUGAGCAGAGGACAGAACUACUUGGUGAACUUACUGCAACCCACCUGUGUCUGCCCUCAACAUCAUGGGACAAAAGCAACUGCCCUGGCUGGAAGCUAUUUCCCUUUUUCCACCUCCCUAGAAGGUGGCCUCCAAACCCACUACUCUCAGUGGUACUAGAGGUGAAAAGAGAAAUUGAGAGAGUGGCUCUUGAAUUCACAGCAGCAGAGAUACAAUGAGAACAUGCAGGCUUUACUGAUGAACUUUGGUGACACUUAAAAGAGCCCAGGUCAUCCACUAAAACAUGGGAUUGUGCAAGCUGCUUAAGAAACAUACACUGACUGGCAGUGGCUGUAUCUGCUCCUGAAUUCUUAGUUUUACAGUCCAGCUACUCAUUAAUCUGAAUGGCUUUCACUUCACUCUGUCCAAGGACAAUGUGCCAAUCGUGCUGAUGGAAAAACAAAAAUCAAUAAGUCAAGAGUGCUGCAACUGAAUAUUUCUUACCACAGGCAACACCCUGGUUGUUUUGUGAGUGCCUGACCUUUUGGUUCUAUCAACGCACACAAGCACAGCCCCCAUGCCCACACUUGCCCUCCCACCUCUUGAGUGGAAGUCAGUACUGCAUGCCUUUCCUGGGGACUUCAAGCCCCAUCUUUUUUUAAAAUUAUGCCCAGCAUUCUGAAAUCAAGAUUCUUCCUUCAGAAAAAAGUGAAGAAGAGAUAGAAUGCUGCAUAUAACCUGACUAGUAAUUACCAAGUAAAGCACUCUCUCAUGUUUACCUGUA